rnacentral:sRNA from 1 species
CCGCCCGUCAAACCACGAAAGUGGGCAAUACCCAACGCCGGUGGCCUAACCCGUAAGGGAGGGAGCCGUCUAAGGUAGGGUCCAUGAUUGGGGUUAAGUCGUAACAAGGUAUCCCUACGGGAACGUGGGGAUGGAUCACCUCCUUUCUAAGGAGAAAGGCUAACUAAUAAUUAGCAAAAGAUGACUACUAGUAAGUAGUAACAAUUCUCUAAUUUGUUCAUCAUAUUCAGUUUUGAGAGACUUAGAAAUAGGUUUUUCAUGUUGCAAGAAAGUCUUUGAAAAGUAGAUAAAUGAUGUCUGAAAAGAAAUAAGGUUAAGGAACAAAGGGCACACAGUGGAUGCCUUGGCACCAAGAGGCGAAGAAGGACGGAACUAACACCGAAAUGCUCGGGGAAGCUGUAAGUAAGCGACGAUUCCGAGAUGUCCGAAUGGGGGAACCCACUAUGUUGAAGACAUAGUAUCUAACACACGUGUUAGAGGCAAUACGUAGGGAACUGAAAUAUCUAAGUACCUACAGGAAAAGAAAGUAAUAACGAUUCUGUAAGUAGCGACGAGCGAACGCGGAGGAGCCAGAUACCUAAGGUUACAAAAUUAUAUAAUAGAUGAAUGAUGUGGGAAAAUCAGUCAAAGAAGGUGAGAGCCCUGUAGUCGAAAUUAUAUAAUCCAUGGUAUCAGAAAGUAGGGCGGGACACGUGGAAUCCCGUUUGAAGAUAGGAGGACCAUCUCCUAAGGCUAAAUACUACUUGGUGACCGAUAGUGAACCA